rnacentral:rRNA from 1 species
UACGUAGGGGGCAAGCGUUGUCCGGAAUCAUUGGGCGUAAAGCGCGUGUAGGCGGCUCGAUAAGUCUGCUGUGAAAGUCCAGGGCUCAACCCUGGGAUGCCGGUGGAUACUGUCGAGCUCGAGUCCGGAAGAGGCGAGUGGGAUUCCUGGUGUAGCGGUGAAAUGCGCAGAUAUCAGGAGGAACACCAAUAGCGAAGGCAGCUCGCUGGGACGUUACUGACGCUGAGGCGCGAAAGCGUGGGGAGCGAACAGG